GGAUCCGUGGCCUAGUGGAUAGCGCUGCGGAUUUCAAAUCUAACUUCACUCUCCUGGUUCGAUUCCGCCGCGGGUCCA